GACGAACGCUGGCGGCGUGCUUAACACAUGCAAGUCGAACGAGUGGCGAACGGGUGAGUAACGCGUAAUCAACUGCCCUUCAGAGGGGGACAACUAUUGGAAACGAUAGCUAAUACCGCAUACUAGUAGAUGGACCUGCGUUGUAUUAGCUAGUAGGUAGGGGAAUGGCCUCACUAGGCAACGAUACAUAGCCGACCUGAGAGGGGGAGCGGCCAAAAGGGGACGUAGAAACGGCCCAGACUCCUACGGGAGGCAGCAGUAGGGAAUCUUCGGCAAUGGGGGGAACCCUGACCGAGCAACGCCGCGGGAGUGAAGAAGGUUUUCGGAUCGUAAAGCUCGGUUGUUAAGGAAGCGGUAUCUUACCAGAAAGCCACGGCUAACUACGUGCCAGCAGCCGCGGUAAUAC
rnacentral:rRNA from 1 species